AUUUCCGUCGGGUCCUUUAAGACGUCACAUCCAGGUUAAAAAAAACCAGAGAGAAAAGAUAAGGUUGGAGGAAGUCUCACUAAACUGUUCGAGCGUCCAUAUUGAACCCGGAAAUGUUUUCGAGUUAGGAACUUUCUUCGGCGAACGGCUUCGCAGACCUAAUCAAUGAUGGCCGCGGCACGUUGGCGGGUGUACGUCGUGCGUCCCCUCCUUAGAUGGGCGGGGCGGAAGGUCUGGCUGCUGACGGACUAUGGAGACACCCUGGGGGCGGGGCUACGGCGUUUGGCGCGAAAUUUCCUUUUCUCCACCUUCUUUCCAUUCCUAGUGAGGCUUCCGUUUCGGCGUUUGUGCGCGCCUGGCAGCUGUAAGAAGAGUCCCCCUGGGGCAGGUAGAUUUGCUGCAGUUCCACGAGCUCCUGAAGCGGGGACGCUGGAAGGAGGCUUGCGCCCAUCUCCAACAAGCUUUGGCGCCCGCUUUCUGCCUCUGCCGGGGAUUGCGAUCUUGCAGUGGGAAACCGGAAGCCAACAGCGGAGAAGCGUGAACACUCCUGUCCUCAGCUCCUUGAGACUAUCAAUAUUGACCUGAGUCAUAUGAACCUUAUAUCCACAUGGCCCGUGGGAAGCAAUCGCAUCCUUCUUCCUUUCAGGGUAGUGUAACAAGCACCACAGGGAAGCGGAGCAGCAGAGUUAUUACUCGAUAUGGAUGUCGCUAUUGCUCCCAGAGGGAAAAAGGGGCUAGUCUUAAGUCCCUUUUCGUGACUAAAGGGCCUGAGCUCCUACUCAUAUCUUUUCCCCUAAACGAGCUGCUCUUAACUGCAGUGGCACCUCUUUUACUUUCUCUAGUCUAACCCCGAAAUAGAAGGGCCUUCUCUUCUGGCAAAUUGGAAAAAGCACUGGACUUAGAGAAAUGAGAUGCAAGCUUCUUAUCUUGGGCUAUCUGCCAAAUUGCAAUGAUUAGAUAUGGUAGUUUUCUAUUUUGGUUGUCUGUAAAAGUGGUACCCUCUUCCCUACUGUUUUGGGUACAUGUGAAUGCCACUGGAGGUUUUUGUGCGAGGUCAUGUUUAUCAAGUCCCUUUGCAACAGUUUUUAAUGUAACAGGGCAAUAUGCAACUUUAGAAGGUUUCUGAAUUCCUUGAAAUUGAACGCAGAAUUUUGUGUGAAUUGUUUCAUAACAUUCAUCAAAGUAUUAAAAAACAAAACCAAAAAAAACCCACUGUCGCUUAUAAAUAAAUGCAAGGGGUUAGGGAGUGGGGAAGGACUUUCCUGGCAGUCCAGUGGGUGAGACUUGGUGCUUCUACUGCAGGGAGCGCGGAUUCGAUCCCUGGUUGGUGAACGAAGAUCCUGCGUGCUGUGGCCAAAAAUAAAUAAAUUUUUUUUAAAAAGAGUGGGGAAAUAAAUCGACCAUUUUGCAUUUUCUCACUUCAUCCUCAGUGAUCGUAGAAUAAUGCCCCCAGCACAGAAUGGAUGAUUAAUAAAUAAAUAUUGGUUGAAUAAAAGAAAGCUUCUAUUAUUAUUUGCAUUUUGUGGGUAAGGAAAUUGAGACCCAUUUGACUGCUCAGUCAGCAGGUAGGAAGCCUGGCUUAUUGUAAUAAGCAUACCAGAAGCAAACUCUUGUGUGCCUGUAUUUUCAGUCGCGUGUGACUCUUGGUGACCCUAUAGAUUGUGGCCCCGCCUGGCUGCUCUGUCCUGGGAUUCUCCAAGCAAAAAUACUGGAGUGGUUUGCUAUUGCCUCCUCCCCUUAGACAUGUAUUAACAUUACCCACUUUCACACAAGGUGUUCUAAGGUGAAGCGCUUAAGAGCACAGUCAUCGGAAUCCAGCUGCUCAAGGUUUGAAUUAGGGCUGUGCCGUUCUGUGUAACAUUGGGACAACUUACUAUCUUGAAGUGCUAGAGUUUUGGUUCUACCUUUUGUCUUGGUGGAUCAAUAAAUAUAUGCUAUCGUUAUUUUUAGGGCUUCCCUGUGGCUUAGUGGUAAAGAACCCAGAGACAUGGGUUCUAUCCCUGGGUCGGGAAGAUCCCUGGAGGAGGAAAUGGCAACCUAUUCCAGUAUUCUUGCGGAGAAAAUCCCAUGAACACAGGAGCCCGGUGGGCUUGCAAACCCCGGUAGGGUUGCAAAGAGUCGGAUGUGACUGAGCACGGACAUUUUUUUUUUUUUUCUGCAACUCGUAUCUGUUUUUCUUGGGUGUGGCUCCUCGACUGGAUAGUGUGUAUGUUCAAGAUUUCUGGUAUCUUCAACAUUGAGAGCCUGUAAUGUGUGUUUCCUAGAAGCCAAAGUCUUUGCUGAGCCAAAUCUGGCCUGUCUUUCCACUCUGUUCAUCACUCCUGUUGGGAAACCUCUUUCUGAUGAUGAGAUGCAAUACUGGGUCAAGGGUAGGAAAGUGCUGCCUCUUCAGAAGGACUCCUGAUUAAUUUUUUGAACUUUUCAUGGAAAAAUAACCUACAUAUAGAAAAUUCACAUCAUAAGCAUACAGCGCAGUGAGUUGUUUUGAAGAAAACAUACCUGUGUAACCUGCAUCCUAGAAGCACCCCAUUCCCUCCCUGUGCUUCCUUUCAGUCAUUGAGGUUUCCUUUUAGUCCGACUUCUAGCAUCAUAGGUUAGUUUUACCUGCUUUUGAGCUUUGUGUAAAUGGAAUCAAUAUAGUAUGUAUUCUUCUGGUGUCUGAUUCCCUUAGCUCAUUGUUAUUUUGUAAAAUUUUCCUCAUGUGUGCAGUCGUGACUGGUUUAAUUUCACUGCUUUAUAGUGCUGCUACAACCAUUCUGGUGCGUGUCCUUUGAUGGUUUGUUUGUUUUUCUGUUGAAUAUAUUUUGUUGGAACUACUGGAUCAUAAGAUAUGCACAUGUUCCGUUUUAGUAGAUACUGUCUGUUUUCCACUUUCUAAUUUAUGCACUCUCCAUCUGUGUAUGAGAGUUCUGGCCACUCUACAUCCUUAUCACACUUGGUAUUGUCCAAAUGAUUUUAAAACCUGUUCAUUCGCUCAUUUAUUCGCUCACCUAUUAUGUGUGAAGUCUUAACCUAGGCCCUGGGGAUGCAGUUAUGAACAGACAAACAAGGUGCCAAGAUCCCUGCUCUUUUGGAAUUUAACAUUCUGAUGUAGAAAGUGCAAAAAAUAAGAAAGUAAUAUAAUGGUUAUUGCUUUGAUAAUAGAGUGGUGCAGUAGAACAUGACCCUGAAGGACAGUAUAAAGGGGUGGGGAGUAACUUUCCAUUGGGCAUCAGUGAAGGCCUAUCUGAGGAAGUUUUACUGGCACUGAGACCUGAACCAUCCCUGCAAAGAUAGGCAAGAAGAGAGAACAACAACUGUAUAAGUCUGAGGGGACUAACAACCUUCGUCUGCUUGAGAUUCAGAAAAGCAGUCCUGAAGCGUAGGGAUAGACCAAGACAAGGCAGGUUAUGUAAUCCAGGCCCAGAGAGCCUUCUGAUACUCCUGCCUUCUCAGCCUUUGGUAAAUCAUCCACCCUUGCAUACAGAUAUACUGGUCUCAGUGUAUAGAGCUCCUGAUCUAGAAAAGGAGUGUUAAAUUUUAUCUUGGUUUAGUUUUUGAACUAGGAUGCCUGCUUUAGUAAGCUAAAAUAUUGUCUGUAUUUAAAAUCAUUGAAAGCAUGGAUCUGAUGCCCUUAGAUACACGUGAAUACCUGAGGAGUAUGGAGAUAGUCCUUCUGUAUGCCAGUUUUUGGUUUGAAAAAAUGAGAUCCCUGUGCCAGUGUAACCAAAUAUCAUAGAUAAUGUGACAGGUCAG
ensembl:lncRNA